GCGGAGGUGGCGAAAUGGCAGACGCACCACUCUAAGGAGGUGGCGCCUUAACGGGCAUGCGGGUUCAAGUCCCGCUCUCCGCU
rnacentral:tRNA from 1 species